rnacentral:lncRNA from 1 species
CUCAGUCUCCUCAUCAUCAUCUUCAUUAUUUUGCCCGUACCUAAAUCCAUCCUCAACAUUGUCACGAUCUUCCUCAGUUUCUUCACUAUCUUCUUCCUCGUAAACUUCUUCUUUAGGAGUCCAUUGUUGCUUUCUCACUACAUUCAAGGUGGCAGGAGAUGGAGUUGAGCUUUUGCGUUGCGUUACUUUUGCAGGAGGCAUCUUCAAGUUUGGCUUCGCCCGGCUUUGUUUUUGACUUUUACCAUUAACACGUUUUCCAGCAUAGGCAUCUUGGUCACUGCCUUCAUCCAUCUCAUUAUCAGCAUUAGUUGUGGCAUUCUCGGCAUUUUCAUCAGACAUAUGGCCAGGAUGCUCCCGCUUCAGAUGGAGUUUAAGCUUGUAUUCAUGGAUAUAUGCCUUUUCACACCCUUCAUAAGGACAUGCAUAAGGACGUUCAGAUGAUGCAGAACCAUAAACCCCAGCAGGUGGCUUGGGAGUUUUUGUUAUCCUCUCGGGAGGAGUAGCGUAUCUGGGCACCUCCACUGCAGCAUUCUGAGAAAUCAAAUCUCGAAACUAAGAAUCAGAUAUGAUAUACGAGUUUUGAGAGAAAAUAUAUAUACAGACGAUCUUUGCUUCAUGCCAAUCAAUUUCUGAAAUUCAUGUUGGCAGAAUGGUAUUUUGAUGUCCUAUGUAUAUCAAAUAAAAUUAAAAAAAUAAAAAGAACAUAAUUAUGAUAACCAUUCUAGAUCUACAGUGAAGUCAACCAGCGACACAUGGGAUGAUCUUAAGAGUUUUAAGAAAAAUAGCAGAUGGUUUCUGUACUACAUCUUUCAGUGAUAAUAAUAACCAUUUGUACUAUGACCAUACUAAAGGUGAAAUGAAUACAAUUCCACUAGAACACAAACAUUCAUAUGUUGCCAUUGUUAACAGACUUGAAGGAUAUCUUUAGAAAAGAAAUAAGUAAAAUUCCUUUUGACAGAUGACUAAUAUAAUCUGAGAUGAAACCGAAGUCAUGUUGCUUUAAACGUCAUAAACUAUAUAAGAUAUGUUCUAUGAAAGGAAUUAACUUAAAAUGCAACAAAAAAAGCAGGAAAAAUAUCUAAAAUAGCAAAGAAAAAUACUAAAAAGGCGUUGGUACUGCAAAAUAGUAACAGCAAGGAAAUAGCACCAACCUUUUCGUGGUGAGAUGCAAUAUGAUUCUUUAACUUGUACUCAUGAGCAUAUCUCUUUCCACAAUCUGGGUAUGGGCAGAUGUGAUAAUUUUCUUGUGAAUGUGUUUUCAUGUGUGAUCUCAGGUUGAAGUCCAAAGAGAACGCCUGCAUAUUUCAUAUUUGUAAUUAGGAACACCACAAAUGCUGGGUACAAGUACAAGUGUGUGCACAUACAGAAAUGUACAAUAAAGUAACAUCUUAAGCCAAAACGGCAACCUCAAGGUAAGAUUAGCACUAUGCCCUUUACAAGAUGAUGAAAAAACAUGAGUCUCUCAUAUUUGAUCCAUCCAAGUUACAAUACAACCAACCCUGAUAUUAAGUACCGAACAUUCAUUCUCAAUAAUAAUGGGAGAGGUCUUCACAGAGAGUCGGUCCAAAUAAAACAAGGUUAUAGGGGGAUUCCAAAUACACUAAUACCCCUAAGUGGCUUUUGCAUAGUGGCAUUUCUCAAGACUGAACUCCAUGAUCCUCCACUUGCCAGCCUGAGACUUCAACAUCAUUGGGUCCCCCUGGAUUGGAUACAUGACACUUAAUAUUGUAUGGCAAUCAAAGCGUCUCACAGAAUCUUGCUUACUAAAACCCAUGAUGUCCUCAGCAAUCACAGGGUACAACAAACUGUACUUCUCUUUUCAAAAUAUUAUUAAACAUCCAAGGUAUUAAUAUUAUUUACCAAAUGACCUAAAAUUUUAAAAUUGUGGGCAAGGGACCAUAAGACAAUGGAAUCAAUCAUCAAAUAGAAAUGUUUCAGGCAGAAAACAAAUGUAUAAUAUUUCUCAUAUCUUAUGAUAAUGUCAGCAAUAAGAAAAAAGAAAAAGAUAAGGUAGCCUCGGCAAAGUUUUGACAAAAUGCUUUAGGAUGGAUAGAUUCUUCACCUUACCACAGCCUUCAUGAGGACAUACAUAAUCUCUUUCUCCAGUAUGAAUAAGAAAGUGUCUUUUCAACUUCGAACUAUCCAAAAAUUUCUGCAUCAAAAAGUACAAAAUUACUUCAAAAACCAUUUUUUAUAUGCCUGAAAGAACGACAUCAAUUAAAAAAAAAAUUCAAGAAAAAGAGAAAUAAAAAAAGUGAUGAGGCUUAGCCUUUAACAUAACAUAAAUAUACCAAGAAAACAAUUUGAGGAUUGUUUACAAAAGACUGUACAUGAACAAGGCUGGACCACCUUCAGUCCCAAACCAGACUGACAGAUCUUAUUUAACCAGAGGGUUUGAACUAGCCGCACAAAAAGACCCACCAAAAGAAAAAAUAUUUGGUGAUAGCACCUGAUUCUCAAUAGUACCUUUGCUUCCCCACUCAAAUCAUCGAUGCAAAUUGCUUUCAUACACAUGAAGUUCCCCAAAUUUUUACAACUCAGAAACACUCCCGCCCUCGGCCACAAACCCAAAUUCCUCACUUUGUUUAAUCCAACAUCCCACAAUUUUUAGAGAGGCCAUGUUGGAUAGUAUGUCCAAGAUCAGACACAACAGCUUGUCUCUACACAUACAUAUAAUAGUUUCCUUUUCUUUUUUAAACUAUUAUCAUAUUUUAAACCUCAAGAAGUAUGAUGAAUCUCAUGAUUUUAAGCAGUCUAAAGAAAUCAUGAAUGAAAUAUUAAAAACUUCAUUAAAUACGUCAUGUCUUACCUUUCCACAUCCUUCAUAGUGACACUGAUAUUGUCUCUCUCCAUGAAUGUGAGCAUGCUUUCUCAAAGAGGCAGCAUCAAUAAAUGUCUUCCCACAGCCUUCAUAGCUGCAUAGAAAUAGAACUUCAGUGGUAGGUUCUGGCUGCUGUACCGUACAUCCGCCUUGGCCGUACAGCAGAUUUGGGAUCAAGGAUUAGUGUGUAGUGGGUGAAAUUUCUAUCCCUAUCCAAUUUUUUUUUCAAAUAAAGGAAUAUUAAAAAGAGAGAAGAUAAAUUAUCCUAAUUUUUCCAAUUUUCAUGGCAUAUCUUAGAUUUAAGUUCUACAUGCAUUGCCUGGUAAAAUGGUUUACGCUCUACAUGCCUGGGAAAUUACAAGUGGGUGAUUGAUGGGCUAUAGGUUGGGGGUUGAAAAUUAUUUCCAAAUGGAUUGCCAAUUUAUGAUCAAAGCUUUGUUAGAGCCAGCACAAAAGUCAACAAUUAAUGAAUCCAAUUCCCUCUUUAUGACACUAACUGAUUAACUUAUUCAUGUUGUGGUCUCCCCUCUCUUUCAAAUCAUUUAUGUUCUGAUGAUAUAACGAUUGAAAUUUUGUCAAGCUUACCAGUCAAGUCUCUUAUGCGGCUCAGGUGCAUAAAUUUUGGCAUGAUGAGUUGAUUGCAUCAGCUUUGUGUUUAUCCCAAGAUGAAAAAUUCACAAAUUCGUCAUAUGAAAUUCUUUAGCGAAUCACCAAUAUUUUAAAAUUAAAAAUUUUUAACUUUAUUUAUAUGCUGCAAUGAGAGAAAAAAAGAUGCUGAAAGCAAGCAGAUAAAAGAUGACAGAGAACCUGUUUGUAAGGGUUAGAUACAUACAAGGUGCCCUUACCAGAAGGGUGAAGGAAACAUUUUUAUAUGCUUCAGUCUUCGUACUCAGUCUCCUCAUCAUCAUCUUCAUUAUUUUGCCCGUACCUAAAUCCAUCCUCAACAUUGUCACGAUCUUCCUCAGUUUCUUCACUAUCUUCUUCCUCGUAAACUUCUUCUUUAGGAGUCCAUUGUUGCUUUCUCACUACAUUCAAGGUGGCAGGAGAUGGAGUUGAGCUUUUGCGUUGCGUUACUUUUGCAGGAGGCAUCUUCAAGUUUGGCUUCGCCCGGCUUUGUUUUUGACUUUUACCAUUAACACGUUUUCCAGCAUAGGCAUCUUGGUCACUGCCUUCAUCCAUCUCAUUAUCAGCAUUAGUUGUGGCAUUCUCGGCAUUUUCAUCAGACAUAUGGCCAGGAUGCUCCCGCUUCAGAUGGAGUUUAAGCUUGUAUUCAUGGAUAUAUGCCUUUUCAAUAAAUGUCUUCCCACAGCCUUCAUAGCUGCAUAGAAAUAGAACUUCAGUGGUAGGUUCUGGCUCCGGCUCUGGUGCCUCUGGCUCUUUUGCCUUCUCCUUUAAGGCCUUCAACGUUUUCUCUGAACACAAACGGACGAAGGACAUAAAAUGUUGGGAAUAAAUGAACAUGAGAAUUCCUUAAAA